GACGAACGCUGGCGGCGUGCUUAACACAUGCAAGUCGAACGGAAAGGCCCUGCUUUUGUGGGGUGCUCGAGUGGCGAACGGGUGAGUAACACGUGAGUAACCUGCCCUUGACUUUGGGAUAACUUCAGGAAACUGGGGCUAAUACCGGAUAGGAGCUCCUGCUGCAUGGUGGGGGUUGGAAAGUUUCGGCGGUUGGGGAUGGACUCGCGGCUUAUCAGCUUGUUGGUGGGGUAGUGGCUUACCAAGGCUUUGACGGGUAGCCGGCCUGAGAGGGUGACCGGCCACAUGGGGACUGAGAUACGGCCCAGACUCCUACGGGAGGCAGCAGUGGGGAAUAUGGCACAAUGGGCGGAAGCCUGAUGCAGCAACGCCGCGUGCGGGAUGACGGCCUUCGGGUGGGAAACCGCUUUCGCCUGUGACGAAGCGUGAGGGACGGGAAUGGGUAAAGAAGCACCGGCGAACUACGU
rnacentral:rRNA from 1 species